rnacentral:rRNA from 1 species
CUUGAUCAAUUAUAAGAGGUCAAGCCUGCCCAGUGACAUUGUUCAACGGCCGCGGUAUCCUAACCGUGCGAAGGUAGCGUAAUCACUUGUCCUUUAAAUAAGGACCAGUAUGAACGGCUUCACGAAGGCUAUACUGUCUCCUUAAUCUAAUCAAUUAAACUAAUCUCCCCGUGAAGAAGCGGGGAUUCAUCUAUAAGACGAGAAGACCCUAUGGAGCUUUAAACAUCUAAGACACUUGAUUUUUACCUACUAAACUUCAUGCAACCUAUCCUUUUGUCUUAAGUUUUAGGUUGGGGUGACCACGGAGAAAAAUUAAACCUCCACGUAGAAAGAAAAUUCUUUUCUAAGCAAAAAGCCACAUCUUAACGCAUCAAUAUAUUGACUUAACUUGACCCAAUUUCUUGCUCAACGAAC